CUUUUAUCUCCACAGCAACUCUGCUUGCCAACUUUGAUGCCAGUGGCAUCAAAAAUUCCCUGAAAUGAUACAUAGCGAUACUAGCAUCAGUACCACCACUGAGCUGAAAGACUGUGUUGCAUAAGAACAGUACAUUCAUAGGAAAGAGACUCCUCUUCUGAUGGAUGAGAACAAGAAAGCUUGUAGCCCCUAGUUGCUGCUGGGUGUUAACUUGUCAUGUUGAAAGAGUAAGCACAGAUUGCAAAGUUCCCCAGAGGGAAAGGAAUGGGAGCAGGCACACUCAGCCUUCAGACUGUAAUUUCUAAAAGUGGCCACAGCAGUAAAUCUGGUCCCAUAUGAUCUUCCAGGACCUUGCUGCUUCACAUUAAGAGUCACCAUGUUGUGAGGAAGCUCAGGCUACAUGCAGAGGCUAGUAGGUGUUCUGGCCCACAGCCUCAGUUGAUCUCCCAGCCAUAACUAUAAUCAAUCAGAAGACAGACCAACUCCUGUUCCUGUGAGGGAUAAGUUGGCUUGGGCUAUACAUAAAUUCAGCUCAUCUCUACUUUCUGUUCCAUCACAACAAAUAAAGAGCAGUUGGGAGUGUGUUUUCCUGCUGCCAAGCUACAAA